UUGAGUCGGUUUGAGUCAAUUUUUAGGAUCGAGUCAGUCAAAAAUUUGUGGGAAUUAAGACUUUAUUCUGUGUUGAUCACUAACCACCUCGUGUUUUAGUUAUCUUAUUCAGUGACCUUAGUAGUGACGAAAGACACACAUGUGGACCUGGAACACCCUGGCAUACCUCAUUUGAUUCUCCAGAAGUUCUUGGCUGAUCUGGUUACACUGGGUAGACUUAACUCCACCUAACCUUAACCUAAUCUCGACUGAAAUUCUUCUUGUUAUGGGCACUAGAUCAGGGAAACCAGACCUACACUCAGGACGUCUUAUUCUUUAUAUCCAUCUCGCUGAUCCUGAGUGGCUAUCUCAUUUUUAGCUAGUUCCCACCUUGCACCUUAACCACUAUUCCAACCUCUUUCAUUUGAUUUUGAGUUUCAUAUGUGCCGAUAUGUGGAAAAAGGUUGGAGAGGAAAGGAUCGAAGCAGUCUCGUACUCGUUAAUGCCAUUAAGAAUCAAAGAUAGGGGAGCAGUCAGAUUUUGCGAACAGCCGAGCAAUCAAUUAUAAGGAGCAGCCGCUCCUUCGGCAGAUACAUGUGCUAGAGCAAGGUGGAGAAACAGAAUGGUGCGAAAACAAGACCGCUAGUGGCAAUCC
rnacentral:lncRNA from 1 species